AUCUCCUUAUAUGAGUAGCAAUAACAGAGGAACCAACACUUCCUCCACAGACAGGGGCAAUAAUAUCCACAACUCUAUAGGGAGUCCAAAUUGUCAACAGGCCACUUCUAUGAGGGAACUUUGUAUGGAAACCAGAAAUCAUCCCUGCCACUUCCCAUCAAAAUUACUUCAUCCUCACAGCAGGCAUCACAGGUGCCUAGCAAUGCUAAGGACAUGACAGAGGCAGAUAAGAGUGAUGUAACACUUCCCACUGGUAAAACCACCACCAGAAAUAUCACACUUCCCCAUACAUGUUAGUAUGAGUGCGGCACAGAGCCAUCCCUCUGUGUUCCAGUCAUUUCUUCCCAUUGUUAGUCAUUGAAACGCAGGUACCCUCCAUGGGCAUCUGAAGCAGUCACACUAACCUUGAGCAAGUUUCUGAAGUAUGGGGAGCAGGCUGAGAGCACCACCUUGUGUGCCUUUAAGCUGCGUCCCUCACAUGCCAGCGUCACGUCCACAAAGUCCUCAUGGUCGCGGAGGUGCUCGAACGAUGUGGCAAUGUUGCUGUGAAAAUUGUUCCACCGCAGGCAAAAGUGUUGGUCACUACCCAUGGCGAUCAUGUGCUGCUUACUGCUGGCCCACAGGAGGAGGCAGAGACACAGAGGAAAGGAGAGAGAAAAUCUGAUCAGUGAAAGUAUACAUCAUGAAGUCAGUGUUAAUUAAGAAACAGAAACCUGAAAGGAGAAAAAUGUUAAGAUAAUUUCAUAUGUAAGAGUAUAUGUUUCCUGUUCAAAAGACCUAAACAUCAUCUUCAUUCACUUCCCAGGCAGUAACCUGGAAGUAUGUGUAUGUUGGAUGGAUGUGGUACUGAGACACCAGUGCAUUCUAGUUCAGAAGACUUACACAUCUCUCUCAUACAUUCCCAAGGCAACAAAUAGUCUGACACUCCUCACAUAAGUCACAGCAGAGGGGCCAUGAGGGGCUCUUGCUACUACUACUACUGCUGCUGCUGCUGCUGCUGCUGCUGCUGCCGCUACAGGCAGGUCACUCUCACUCCACACUGGUUCAUUAUCUCCCAGCCCUGCCCAUCACUGACUCAGCCCGCUUAUCAUGAGGUACAAUACAAUUCCAUGCUAUCCACCACCUCCAGUCACGUCUCCCAUGCACACUGCAACUAAUUCCUAAAUGGUCUUAAAUAUUUGCUUCAUCCAUAUAAUUUUCAUUAAGCUACAGAUUUAAUAGAGGAUGUUUGAGAAUAGUCUUCCAAAAAAUUGCACUGUCUACUGAAAUGAGGCUUACGUCUAUUGAAAAUUAGUUUUUUACAUAGUUCAUUUCAAAAACACUGCAAGAACGAAUUAUAAUGAGAUAGAUCUACCUAUUUACAGACAACACUGAUAUUCCUUCUACAGGAAUAUCCUGUACAUGGUGCUUUGAAAAUGCAACAGAGCUGAGCCUUGCAAUGUAUCACAGAAGUUUCUUAUGAUACAAAUUUUAACUCCAAACUCAAGAAAUGUCAAAAGUUCCAUUACAAAAUCAGAUAAAGCAACAGCACCUGGAUUUCCUGUUUACACCUUCUCAAAGACACAAAAACCUCUACUUGAUAAUGUGUGUGAUUCUCCAACAAAUCCCCAUAAAUAACUUACUGCAUACAAAGCUACACAAUGAUUCUUGUCAGGCUCACAAAAUAACUUCGCACAAAUUGUACUGUGCUCUGGUAUCUUAUCUUUGAGUAGAUAGUACAUCACUGAGCCCAGGUGUUUAUGGUUACAUACAUACAUUUGGACUAAAAUGUGUGCUCCUCUACCUUCAGUCAACAGGAUUUAAUUCUAGCUCAGGUUGUUUGAUUCCUGAGAAGAGUAAGAACACGUAAAAAUAAGGAGAAUGCAAAAGGCCACUUGACCCACACAAGGCAGCUCCUGUUAACAAAACUAACAUAAAAGUAUGUGUAUGUGUUUGCAUGUAAGAUUGUCACAUGGACUAUCAUAUUCAUAUAAACAUAGUAUUUUUA